GAUCGUGAAAGUCUCCGUUUUCUCCAAUGAGGGCACAGGCAGUGCUUAUUCUUUUCUGUGUGGAAUGAUAAUCCACAACAAAUCCAUAGAUUGAAGCUGUAAAUUCUCGAUUUCAAUUCAAUCGAUUCUCUUCCUUCUUCUAAAUCUCAAAGCAAAAUUUGCAGACAUGGAAGAGAAUUAGAACGUUUUUCUGGUUGAUAUUAGCCACUUGAUUGUAGCUGAAAGGUUUUAUAAGUUUUAUAAACUGCGCAUAACAUGGAUAUUGCCCUGCUCCUUGAAGAGGGCAGAGCUGAAGCAUCCAGCUACUGUGAACUUAACUGCUAUAGUUGUUGCAACAAAAGAGUGGAGAGGAAAUAGCACUCAAUGUUCUUUAACCUAUGAGACGGAAGUAAAUUGCUAGUUGGUGAACUUUCUCAGAAUUGUCUUCGGUUGUUUGAACCCUGUUUGAAAUUCUGUUCUGAUAAUGUUCAACUGAGAUUUCAUCUCUCUGCAAAAUGAGUUUUAGACACGUUGGGCUCUGCUUGAUUCUCUAUACAUGUACUUGAGCAUCAUCCGGAUCAGAUACUAUCUCUGAAGCGUAUAUCUGAAGCGAUGUCGACACUGCCCAGUGUCAAAUUUGCAGAUUUGAGUCCCACAAAAGAUGUUUUUGUUUCAGCUCUCCGCUUUGCUCUGUCAAUUAACAGCCCAUGUGUGCCAUUUGGAGAUGAGCUUCAAAGAUCUGCUCAGGAACAAGUUGACUAUAUGGUAAGAGCAGAUGCCGGUACGUCGUUGGUAAUAACUGACGACGAAGUAAAAUCCGUGUUGAGAAUGGGCCUUUCUAGAACUUGUGCAUCGUUUCAGACGGAUCUAUCUUCACUACUUUUGGAGUCUGACUUUACAUCUCAAGUCAUCGAAGACAAGCUAUUGAGAACACUAUCUGAUCUUGAAUGGAUAUGUUCUUUACUUCCAAAGAUGAAUUUAAUGAAAGACUUCGUUUCCAACUGGAUCGAGAUAUCUGGGAACGUACUGAAGGUCAUCGAGGACGAAAAGUUAAAUUCCUUAAUGUGGGGUUUGAAGGUUAAGCUGAUUGAGAUGACCAACAAAGCCUUGGAAGCUGUUGGCUAUGGGGCUGUAAUUCUUCCUGCACCGUACCGGUUGUCACUGCUUCAAUUCUGGCUUCCAUAUAUUAGGAAGAUGAAGCCUCUGCUCGAUUCAAAGUGCGUCGCAGAGACAGAUUUUCGUUACAAAAUGGACGACGAGCUGUGCUUGAAUAUUGAGGGGGCAAUUGUUUCCAUGGUAUUGACAUUGCCUUCAAAUGAUCAAGCAGGUAUCUUGGUAGACUGGAUGAAAGCAGAGGAAAUGCAGUACCCUGAUUUAACUGAUGCUUUUGAAUUAUGGUGUUAUAGGACCAAAUCUGCAAAGCGGAGAUUGGUUGAAGGUAUUGAUGGAGCUUGCUCUGACAAUGAUGAUGCUGCAAUCAGCUUUUGAAUUGAUCGCUACGACUCUGCUGGGUGGAUUCAAAUGUUUGUUAUUCAUGUAGGACAUAGCAAGUUUAUAUGCUCAAUCUUCAUAUGUUCCAUUAAUAAAACUCCCUUAAAUUGAAAAUUAU